UACGUAGGGUGCAGGCGUUAAUCGGAAUUACUGGGCGUAAAGCGUGCGUAGGCGGUUCUCCAAGUCCGUUGUGAAAGCCCCGGGCUCAACCUGGGAAUGGCAGUGGAAACUAGGGGACUGGAAUCUGGCAGAGGGGGGUGGAAUGCCGCGUGUAGCAGUGAAAUGCGUAGAGAUGCGGCGGAACACCGAUGGCGAAGGCAGCCCCCUGGGCUGAGAUUGACGCUCAGGCACGAAAGCGUGGGGAGCAAACAGG
rnacentral:rRNA from 1 species